AGCAGGGCUGUCCUCUGCUCCCGCUGACAGCUCCGGCGGCUCUGGGAACCUGCGUGCCCGGGCAGCCCCAGCGGUGCCAGAUGUGCCCGGGCAGCCCCAGCGGUGCCAGAUGUGCCCCCGGGACAGGCGCUGCCGAGGGAGGGCGAGACGUGGGGCUGAGCCCUGAGCCCGAGAGGGGCUCUGGAGGAGGCAGGGGCAGCUCCGCUCCUCCCUGCAGGGUUUGUGCCCUGCUCGGAACCAGUUCCCAUCCAGAGGGGCACAGAAAUCAUCCCAGGGUGUGGACGAGCGCUCUCGAAGGUGAGAGUGAAAAACGCCUAAGGAGCAUUUUCCAGCACUUAAGAUUCAGUGGCAAAAACGGAAGGAGAAAAUUCCCUGUUUGUAUUUCCAUGAUUACUACCCACUGGCACUGAGCACCCGGCUCUCGCACAGAUGAGAAGUUGCUCCACUCCUGCGUGUUCCGUGCCCGGCACAGGCAUCACCAGGUAGGUCUGGUUUCAGACGGUUUCCUGAGACGUGGUGAGCCAGGUGAUAGGAAAGGUGGGUGCUUCCGAACUUUGGGGGAAAAUGACACGUUCGGGAGGGGAAUAUGUGGCGGGCGCUUCGAAAGGGCUGCACCUUCCUCGUGCUUCAGCCAGUGGGGACAGGAAGAGGGCAACGUGCGGCCGGGGUUUGGGGUAAAAGGAGGCUGCAUCUUCCGAAACCGCGAGAGAGAAAAGCCCGGUGGACUCUCUCCCUUUAUUCGAAUAAAGGCCUCCUCCGUCUCCUUUAUGGACACCGGCUUUCCAGAGCGGGAUUUUCAGCACGCAGGCUUUAAGUGAGAGUCCUGUGUCAAAAUCUGGUCCCUCACCUUCUCUCUUUGCUGGUACUGGGGGGAAUGGGUUAGAAAUUGGCUGGAGAGGAGGACAGUAAAUCACUCAAGUAAUCCUGCGGCUGGGAAUAACCCUGGAUAACCCUGUGAACAGCAGCCGCGAUCCUCUGGCAUCGGCUCCGUUUAAGAGGCUGUGUCUCCCUGAUGUGCCUCUGCCCAGGGCUUGCUUCGAGGGUCUCCCGGUUACAGAGGGAAGAGAAACAAAUUUACUCUUCACCCUCCAGCCGCGAGUUGCUCCAGCUGCCUGUGCCAACUCACACAUCCGGGGACAGCAGUGACCUUGUGCUGGCACUCAGUAGCCCCUCAUGAUCCUACUCCCUUCUCCUGAUGCUGAAGUCAGCCAGAGAACAAACUUUCUCACACAAUUUGAAGGAUUAGAAUCCAGGCAUUCUGUAUUGCAGCGUGCUGGACGCCUGGAGGGUAUUUCCUCUGACUGGGUGUGUCAUGAAACUUUACAGCCAGGUGUUUGUUCCACCGUGACCAUACAUGUGUGCCUGUAGCACAACUUGUCAGACAAAAUAUAUUGUGAUCAUUUUACCGAACAGCUGAAGGUCUUUGUGUCUCACCUUUUCCUUGUGGCUGUGACUGAUGAUACAGUUUCUUAUAUCUUAGGAUAAUUCUAAUUAAUAUUCGUGAAUAAAACCUCUGUAUGAUAUAAAGGA